rnacentral:rRNA from 1 species
CCGUAGGGUGAACCUGCGGAGGGAUCAUUACACAAUAAACAUAUGAAGGCUGCACCGCCAGUUGGCGGCAAGGCUGGAGUAUUUUAUUACCCUUGUCUUUUGCGCACUUGUUGUUUCCUGGGCGGGUUCGCCCGCCACCAGGACCACAUGAUAAACCUUUUUUAUGCAGUUGCAAUCAGCGUCAGUACAACAAAUGUAAAUCAUUUACAACUUUCAACAACGGAUCUCUUGGUUCUGGCAUCGAUGAAGAACGCAGCGAAAUGCGAUACGUAGUGUGAAUUGCAGAAUUCAGUGAAUCAUCGAAUCUUUGAACGCACAUUGCGCCCUUUGGUAUUCCAAAGGGCAUGCCUGUUCGAGCGUCAUUUGUACCCUCAAGCUUUGCUUGGUGUUGGGCGUUUUGUCUUUGGUUGCCAAAGACUCGCCUUAAAACGAUUGGCAGCCGGCCUACUGGUUUCGCAGCGCAGCACAUUUUUGCGCUUGCAAUCAGCAAAAGAGGACGGCACUCCAUCAAGACUCUUUAUCACUUUUGACCUCGGAUCAGGUAGGGAUACCCGCUGAACUUAAGCAUAUCAAAAGGCGGGAGGAA